rnacentral:rRNA from 1 species
UUUAUUGGAGAGUUUGAUCCUGGCUCAGGAUGAACGCUGGCGGCGUGCCUAAUACAUGCAAGUCGAGCGAAUGGAUUGAGAGCUUGCUCUCAAGAAGUUAGCGGCGGACGGGUGAGUAACACGUGGGUAACCUGCCCAUAAGACUGGGAUAACUCCGGGAAACCGGGGCUAAUACCGGAUAACAUUUUGAACCGCAUGGUUCGAAAUUGAAAGGCGGCUUCGGCUGUCACUUAUGGAUGGACCCGCGUCGCAUUAGCUAGUUGGUGAGGUAACGGCUCACCAAGGCA